rfam:Oryza rufipogon genomic scaffold, chr09
AAAAAAACAAACCCUGGGUCUACGUGUUCAACGUUUGACUGUCCGUCUUAUAUAAAUUUUUUUUAUAAUUAGUAUUUUUAUUGUUGUUAGAUGAUAAAACAUGAUUAAUACUUUAUACGUGACUUAUCCUUUUAAUUUUUUUCAUAAUUUUUUCAAAUAAGACGGACGGUCAAACGUUGGACACGGAAACCCAGGGUUUGUCUUUUU